UUUUACAUCCUAUUAUAAACUUGUCUUAUAGCCUGAAUGUUCAAGAUGUACUAUUUUCUUGGCUAAAACUUUUUUGGUAAGGUUAAAGAAAUGGGAGAAAUAAGGAUACACCUACACAGAUGACUCGUCAGACACAUGUUAUUUUAUUAAAAGGGAAAAACAAACAACUAAAAAUAAAGGAAAACGGUAAAAAACGAUAAAAGUAAAGGAAAGCGAUAAAAAGCAAUAAAAAUAAAGGAAAGAUGAAAAGCGAUAAAAUCUCCUUCCACACUUAAACCGAACAUUGUCCUCAAUGUUUCGAUAGGAGAUAGGGUAGGAGUAACCUGGAAAAGAGAGAGAGAGAGAG
rnacentral:lncRNA from 1 species